rnacentral:rRNA from 1 species
GGUUAAGCGACUAAGCGUACACGGUGGAUGCCCUGGCAGUCAGAGGCGAUGAAGGGCGUGCUAAUCUGCGAUAAGCGCCGGUAAGGUGAUAUGAACCGUUAUAACCGGCGAUACCCGAAUGGGGAAACCCAGUGUGAUUCGUCACACUAUCAUUAACUGAAUCCAUAGGUUAAUGAGGCGAACCGGGGGAACUGAAACAUCUAAGUACCCCGAGGAAAAGAAAUCAACCGAGAUUCCCCCAGUAGCGGCGAGCGAACGGGGAGGAGCCCAGAGCCUGAAUCAGCAUGUGUGUUAGUGGAAGCGUCUGGAAAGGCGCGCGAUACAGGGUGACAGCCCCGUACACAAAAGCGCAUGUGUUGUGAGCUCGAUGAGUAGGGCGGGACACGUGGUAUCCUGUCUGAAUAUGGGGGGACCAUCCUCCAAGGCUAAAUACUCCUGACUGACCGAUAGUGAACCAGUACCGUGAGGGAAAGGCGAAAAGAACCCCGGCGAGGGGAGUGAAAAAGAACCUGAAACCGUGUACGUACAAGCAGUGGGAGCACCCUUUGGGGUGUGACUGCGUACCUUUUGUAUAAUGGGUCAGCGACUUAUAUUCUGUAGCAAGGUUAACCGAAUAGGGGAGCCGGAGGGAAACCGAGUCUUAAUUGGGCGUUAAGUUGCAGGGUAUAGACCCGAAACCCGGUGAUCUAGCCAUGGGCAGGUUGAAGGUUGGGUAACACUAACUGGAGGACCGAACCGACUAAUGUUGAAAAAUUAGCGGAUGACCUGUGGCUGGGGGUGAAAGGCCAAUCAAACCGGGAGAUAGCUGGUUCUCCCCGAAAGCUAUUUAGGUAGCGCCUCGUGAAUUCAUCUCCGGGGGUAGAGCACUGUUUCGGCUAGGGGGCCAUCCCGGCUUACCAACCCGAUGCAAACUGCGAAUACCGGAGAAUGUUAUCACGGGAGACACACGGCGGGUGCUAACGUCCGUCGUGAAGAGGGAAACAACCCAGACCGCCAGCUAAGGUCCCAAAGUCAUAGUUAAGUGGGAAACGAUGUGGGAAGGCCCAGACAGCCAGGAUGUUGGCUUAGAAGCAGCCAUCAUUUAAAGAAAGCGUAAUAGCUCACUGGUCGAGUCGGCCUGCGCGGAAGAUGUAACGGGGCUAAACUAUGCACCGAAGCUGCGGCAGCGACACUAUGUGUUGUUGGGUAGGGGAGCGUUCUGUAAGCCUGUGAAGGUGUGUCGUGAGGCAUGCUGGAGGUAUCAGAAGUGCGAAUGCUGACAUAAGUAACGAUAAAGCGGGUGAAAAGCCCGCUCGCCGGAAGACCAAGGGUUCCUGUCCAACGUUAAUCGGGGCAGGGUGAGUCGACCCCUAAGGCGAGGCCGAAAGGCGUAGUCGAUGGGAAACGGGUUAAUAUUCCCGUACUUGGUGUUACUGCGAAGGGGGGACGGAGAAGGCUAUGUUGGCCGGGCGACGGUUGUCCCGGUUUAAGCGUGUAGGUGUGUGUUCCAGGUAAAUCCGGUUCACUUUAACACUGAGGCGUGAUGACGAGGCACUACGGUGCUGAAGCAACAAAUGCCCUGCUUCCAGGAAAAGCCUCUAAGCAUCAGGUAACAUCAAAUCGUACCCCAAACCGACACAGGUGGUCAGGUAGAGAAUACCAAGGCGCUUGAGAGAACUCGGGUGAAGGAACUAGGCAAAAUGGUGCCGUAACUUCGGGAGAAGGCACGCUGACACGUAGGUGAAGUGAUUUACUCAUGGAGCUGAAGUCAGUCGAAGAUACCAGCUGGCUGCAACUGUUUAUUAAAAACACAGCACUGUGCAAACACGAAAGUGGACGUAUACGGUGUGACGCCUGCCCGGUGCCGGAAGGUUAAUUGAUGGGGUCAGCGCAAGCGAAGCUCCUGAUCGAAGCCCCGGUAAACGGCGGCCGUAACUAUAACGGUCCUAAGGUAGCGAAAUUCCUUGUCGGGUAAGUUCCGACCUGCACGAAUGGCGUAAUGAUGGCCAGGCUGUCUCCACCCGAGACUCAGUGAAAUUGAACUCGCUGUGAAGAUGCAGUGUACCCGCGGCAAGACGGAAAGACCCCGUGAACCUUUACUAUAGCUUGACACUGAACAUUGAGCCUUGAUGUGUAGGAUAGGUGGGAGGCUUUGAAGUGUGGACGCCAGUCUGCAUGGAGCCGACCUUGAAAUACCACCCUUUAAUGUUUGAUGUUCUAACGUGGACCCGUGAUCCGGGUUGCGGACAGUGUCUGGUGGGUAGUUUGACUGGGGCGGUCUCCUCCUAAAGAGUAACGGAGGAGCACGAAGGUUGGCUAAUCCUGGUCGGACAUCAGGAGGUUAGUGCAAUGGCAUAAGCCAGCUUGACUGCGAGCGUGACGGCGCGAGCAGGUGCGAAAGCAGGUCAUAGUGAUCCGGUGGUUCUGAAUGGAAGGGCCAUCGCUCAACGGAUAAAAGGUACUCCGGGGAUAACAGGCUGAUACCGCCCAAGAGUUCAUAUCGACGGCGGUGUUUGGCACCUCGAUGUCGGCUCAUCACAUCCUGGGGCUGAAGUAGGUCCCAAGGGUAUGGCUGUUCGCCAUUUAAAGUGGUACGCGAGCUGGGUUUAGAACGUCGUGAGACAGUUCGGUCCCUAUCUGCCGUGGGCGCUGGAGAACUGAGGGGGGCUGCUCCUAGUACGAGAGGACCGGAGUGGACGCAUCACUGGUGUUCGGGUUGUCAUGCCAAUGGCACUGCCCGGUAGCUAAAUGCGGAAGAGAUAAGUGCUGAAAGCAUCUAAGCACGAAACUUGCCCCGAGAUGAGUUCUCCCUGAGACUUAGAGUCUCCUGAAGGAACGUUGAAGACGACGACGUUGAUAGGCCGGGUGUGUAAGCGCAGCGAUGCGUUGAGCUAACCGGUACUAAUGAACCGUGAGGCUUAACCUU